rnacentral:rRNA from 1 species
GACGAACGCUGGCGGCGUGCCUAAUACAUGCACGUCGACCUUAGUGACGAACGGGUUAGUAACACGUGGGUAACCUGCCCAUCAGAAGGGGAUAAAACUUGGAAACAAGUGCUAAUACCGUAUACUGAUGGAUGAACCCGCGGUGCAUUAGCUUGUUGGUGAGGUAACGGCUCCCAAAGGCCACGAUGCAUAGCCGACCUGGGAGGGGGAGCUGCCACAUUGGGAUGGAGACACGGCCCAAAAGCUUACGGGAGGAAGCAGUAGGUAAUCUUCGGCAAGGGACGAAAGUCUGACCGAGCAACGCCGCGUGAGUGAAGAAGGUUUUCGGAUCGUAAAACUCUGGUGUUAGAGAAGCGGUAUCUAACCAGAAAGCCACGGCUAACUACGUGCCAGCCGCCGCGGUAAUAC